CAGUAGCCGCGGGAAUACCGAGGGUGCAAGCGUUAAUCGGAAUUACUGGGCGUAAAGCGCGCGUAGGUGGUUUGUUAAGUUGGAUGUGAAAGCCCCGGGCUCAACCUGGGAACUGCAUCCAAAACUGGCAAGCUAGAGUACGGUAGAGGGUGGUGGAAUUUCCUGUGUAGCGGUGAAAUGCGUAGAUAUAGGAAGGAACACCAGUGGCGAAGGCGACCACCUGGACUGAUACUGACACUGAGGUGCGAAAGCGUGGGGAGCAAACAGGAUUAGAUACCCCGGUAGUCCCUGUCUCUUAUAU
rnacentral:rRNA from 1 species